UACGUAGGGUGCGAGCGUUAAUCGGAAUUACUGGGCGUAAAGUGUGCGCAGGCGGCCGCGCAAGUCGAGUGUGAAAGCCCCGAGCUUAACUUGGGAAUUGCGCUCGAAACUACGUGGCUGGAGUGUGGCAGAGGAAGGUGGAAUUCCACGUGUAGCGGUGAAAUGCGUAGAUAUUGGGAGGAACACCAGUGGCGAAGGCGGCUCACUGGACCGGUACUGACGCUGAGGCGCGAAAGCGUGGGGAGCAAACAGG
rnacentral:rRNA from 1 species